UACAGAGGUCCCGAGCGUUUGUUCGGAUUCACUGGGCGUAAAGGGUGCGUAGGUGGCCUGAAAAGUUUGAUGAUGAAAGCUCGAGGGCUUAACCCCUGAAAUGGCAUUGAAUACUGUUGGGCUGGAGGUUUGGAGGGGGACUGGAAUUCUUGGUGUAGCAGUGAAAUGCGUAGAAUAUCAAGAGGAACACCAGUGGCGAAGGCGACGUCCCUGGACGAACACCUGACACUGAGGCACGAAAGCGUAGGGGAGCAAACAGGG
rnacentral:rRNA from 1 species